CCCCCUGAACCGUGAGAAAACGGCCUCUUGCGGAUCGGGUAAUUUAAAAUAAAGGAG
rnacentral:ncRNA from 1 species